UACGUAAGUGGCGAGCGUUACUCGGAAUUACUGGGCGUAAAGGGCGUGUAGGCGGUUUUACAAGUCUAAUGUAAAAAACCACGGCUUAACCGUGGGGCUGCGUUAGAAACUGUGAGACUUGAGUCUGGUGGAGGGCAAUGGAAUUCCCGGUGUAGCGGUGAAAUGCGUAGAUAUCGGGAAGAACACCGAAGGCGAAAGCAGUUGUCUAUGCCAAGACUGACGCUGAGGCGCGAAAGCAUGGGGAUCAAACAGG
rnacentral:rRNA from 1 species